CCUACGGGAGGCAGCAGUAGGGAAUCUUCCACAAUGGACGCAAGUCUGAUGGAGCAACGCCGCGUGAGUGAAGAAGGUUUUCGGAUCGUAAAGCUCUGUUGUUGGUGAAGAAGGAUAGAGGUAGUAACUGGCCUUUAUUUGACGGUAAUCAACCAGAAAGUCACGGCUAACUACGUGCCAGCAGCCGCGGUAAUACGUAGGUGGCAA
rnacentral:rRNA from 1 species